rnacentral:rRNA from 1 species
AUUGAACGCUAGCGGCAUGCUUAACACAUGCAAGUCGAACGAGUGGCGGACGGGUGAGUAAUAUAUCGGAACGUGACCCGUAGCGGGGGAUAACUACUCGAAACAGUGGCUAAUAACGCAUACUAUUGGAGCCGCCGAUAUCGGAUUAGCUAGUAGGUGGGGUAAAGGCUCACCAAGGCAACGAUCGGUAGCUGGUUUGAGAGGCCGACCAUCCAAACUGGGACUGAGACACGGCCCAGACUCCUACGGGAGGCAGCGGUGGGAAAUUUUGGACAAUGGGGGAAACCCUGAUCCAGCAAUGCCGCGUGUAUGAGAAGGCCUUCGGGUUGUAAAGUACUUUUGGCGGGGAGGCGGUAUCUGCAGAAUAAGCACCGGCUAACUACGUGCCAGCAGCCGCGGUAAUAC